UAAAUUAUAAAAUCUAAAUCAUUCAAUUAAAAACCCAAAUUUAAAACCAACUACUAAAUCAGCCAAUUAACAAACUAAUUAUCUAAAAUUUAAUAAGCUAAAUCAACUAAUUACUAGUGUUUAUGCAGCCAUUGCUCCUGCACCUAUUGCAAUUGCACCUAUUUCAAAAUUCUCAAAUGCAUAUGCAACAUCACAGGGCAAGUCACCUUAGUCAUGUUCAAGCAGUAAGAGUCACAACAAAAAUCAACUGAAAGCAACUCUGAGCCUUGGGUUGCAAGAAGCUAAAAGAAACGAAAAUAGAAGAGUAGCAGAGAAGAAGUAAACUAAAGAAGAAGAAAUGAAAACUGAAAUAUACUUUCUGAUCACCAAGAGGAAAAUGAAUUAUAAGCAAGGUUCUGAAAACCGGACUGGUCAUUAAACCGCUAUAGUCAUUGGUUCACUGGUCCAACCGGUCUAACCAUGGUUCAACCGAAAAAAUCGUUUCAUAAUAAAAUAAUAAAUAAAUUAUAAAUAAACAUCCUAAAAUAUCUUUCAAAUUUAAAACCCUACAUAAAAUAUCACCAAUUAAAUGUAAUUAAUCAUCAAAAUAUGCAAAAACUUGCUGCAAAUUUGUUGACAAUUAACAAUAAUUAUACUUCCAUUAAAAAUAGCUGGAUUGAAUUACAAUGCACAAGUUAAAGAUAGAGAAUAUUGUCUUAAUGUAGCUGAGUCAAAAAGUAAAACAAAAAAUGAUAGUGUUGCACAACAAACACACAACAGAGCCUGAAACAAAAAGAAUCCAACACCGAGGAGGGGCAGCAAGUCAGCGGAGAUCGAGAGCAGGGACAGUGCAACCAAACAAUGAACAAAACAAUGAAAAUAGAAUUUUUUUAUAUAACAGAGCAAUCAAAACAUGAAUCAUACAAUCACUAAUUGCAAUUUUUUUCUUCAUAAGAACAGAACAAUGAAAACAUGAAUCAAAGGAUCACCAAUUGCAAAUUUUUUAAUAACAGAAGUUGGAACAGUGAAAAAUGAAGAGAGAUCAACAGUUUUUAACCCAAUUUUAACAAAGCUCAUCACAAUGAUUAACAACAAAAAAAAAGCAAUGAAGGAACAGUGAAUCAUAAUAGAGUUAUCAAUUUAAAAUUUAUCAUCAAAUACAAUCAGUGAGCAAAACCAAUCAACCAAGCACUGACUGGGCAUUCG